GUAGCUCAGGGCGCAAGCCUGAUCCAGCCAUGCCGCGUGUGUGAAGAAGGUCUUCGGGUUGUAAAGCACUUUAAGUUGGGAGGAAGGGUAGUAACUUAAUACGUUGCUGCUUUGACGUUACCGACAGAAUAAGCACCGGCUAACUUCGUGCCAGCAGCCGCGAUAAAA
rnacentral:rRNA from 1 species